ACGCUAGCGGCAGGCCUAACACAUGCAAGUCGAGGGAGAGGUUACUUUCGGGUAACCAAAACCGGCGCACGGGUGCGUAACGCGUAUACAAUCUGCCUUUCACAUAGGGAUAGCCCGAAGAAAUUUGGAUUAAUACCUAAUGGUAUAUAAGAGUGGCAUCAUUUUUAUAUUAAAGCUACGGUGGUGAAAGAUGAGUAUGCGUUCUAUUAGCUAGUUGGAGAGGUAACGGCUCCCCAAGGCGACGAUAGAUAGGGGUUCUGAGAGGGAUGUCCCCCACACUGGUACUGAGAUACGGACCAGACUCCUACGGGAGGCAGCAGUGAGGAAUAUUGGACUAUGGUCGGAAGACUGAUCCAGCCAUGCCGCGUGCAGGAUGAAGGUCCUAUGGAUUGUAAACUGCUUUUGUAAGGGAAGAAUAAGGAGUACGUGUACUUUGAUGACGGUACCUUACGAAUAAGCAUCGGCUAACUCCGUGCCAGCAGCCGCGGUAAUACGGAGGAUGCGAGCGUUAUCCGGAAUCAUUGGGUUUAAAGGGUCCGUAGGCGGGCUGAUAAGUCAGAGGUGAAAGCGCUUAGCUCAACUAAGCAACUGCCUUUGAAACUGUCAGUCUUGAAUGAUUGUGAAGUAGUUGGAAUGUGUAGUGUAGCGGUGAAAUGCUUAGAUAUUACACAGAACACCGAUAGCGAAGGCAUAUUACUAACAAUUUAUUGACGCUGAUGGACGAAAGCGUGGGGAGCGAACAGGAUUAGAUACCCUGGUAGUCCACGCUGUAAACGAUGGAUACUAGCUGUUUGGAGCAAUCUGAGUGGCUAAGCGAAAGUGAUAAGUAUCCCACCUGGGGAGUACGCACGCAAGUGUGAAACUCAAGGAAUUGACGGGGGCCCGCACAAGCGGUGGAGCAUGUGGUUUAAUU
rnacentral:rRNA from 1 species